UUAAAAAAAAUAAUGUUCAUCUUACAGUAUUAAAUCCCUAUUUAUCAUUCUAGAGAAAAAAGAGUGAUCAGCAAUACCAAACCCCUUAAUUUUCACUCUCUUCUGCCAGUCUGUGGGAAAUCUGCUCAGUUUCCAGUCAAGGGAAGAGAUCCAAUACUCUUCUCACAUGCACCUUUCCAAGUCCAUUAACUGAAUGGGUUACACUGGUAUAUCAGAGAAACAUUUGGUCCAAGACUAUUCUAAUUGCUAGCACUGAAGACUCAAUUCUAGUAUCUGGAGGUAGUCAAUCACACCGCUCCCUCUCUACCACGUCACCAAUAAAUGUUCUGGAACUCCUCUGGCUUCUCAAAUCUGUAACAAAAUUGCCAGCAGAGCGCACAGGGGACUGCAGACACAGGAGUUUGAGAGGGAGAGCAAGAGACCCCGCUGCUGAACAGGCUACCAGGCAAGAACAAAUAUUGCAACAUCAGCAGCAACCUGAUUUUAGCAGAUUUCCAAGCACGUUUCUUAUAUUCUACCGUCAGAAAGGACAGAUAUUGGGGAAAAAAAGUUCAAUCCUUGGUACCUACAAGUUAGCUCCCAAAUCCACAUGGAGGCACCAAAAGGGCCCGACUCCGAGGGGUGCUGAAUACAUUGAGAUACACAGAACAUCCUCAACACCGAUUGACUUCAACAGGAAGAGAAAGCACUCAGCACGUUCCAGGAUCAUGCCCAGAGUCAGUAGUUUGCACACAGCUGAUCAAGAUCACUGUUCUACCAGCCUUAUUGAACUGCUUCCUAGGUCAAUGGAUUCAGAAGUCCAACAACAGUAACUGACUCUGUUUUGAGGUCUGAGCAGAAACUGCAAGUUAGAACCUAUGGCUCCGAUCCCCAGCACUACCAUCGACUCACUGUAUUACCUUGGUCAAAUAACCUAGGCCCAGAUUUCACUGGUCUACAAUUUUUGAGAAGUCUGCUUCAGAGAUAAAAUGUGCUAUUUAUUAUGUAUUUUGAUGUGCUGAAUUCAAAUAUGACAAUUAAAACAACUG